rnacentral:rRNA from 1 species
GGACCCGCACAAGUAGUGGAGCAUGUGGUUUAAUUCGAAGAUACGCGCAGAACCUUACCAACACUUGACAUGUUCGUCGCGACUUUAAGAGAUUAAAGUUUUCGGUUCGGCCGGACGAAACACAGGUGCUGCAUGGCUGUCGUCAGCUCGUGUCGUGAGAUGUUGGUUAAGUCCCGCAACGAGCGCAACCCUCACUUUUAGUUGCCAUCAUUUAGUUGGGCACUCUGAAAGAACUGCCAGUGAUAAGCUGGAGGAAGGUGGGGAUGACGUCAAGUCCUCAUGGCCCUUACGUGUUGGGCUACACACGUGCUACAAUGGUAUCUACAACAGGAAGCAAAACUGCGAAGUUAGC